CACGUAGGCACCAAGCGUUGUCCGGAUUCAUUGGGCGUAAAGGGUGCGUAGGCGGCGCGGUAAGUCGGGUGUGAAAUCUCGGAGCUUAACUCCGAAACUGCAUUCGAUACUGCCGGUGCUUGAGGACUGGAGAGGAGACUGGAAUUUACGGUGUAGCGGUGAAAUGCGUAGAUAUCGUAAGGAAGACCAGUGGCGAAGGCGGGUCUCUGGACAGUUCCUGACGCUGAGGCACGAAGGUCAGGGGAGCAAAACGGG
rnacentral:rRNA from 1 species